AGACAGGCAGAGCUGAGGGUCGGCAACCUCUUAUCCCUCACCAACACAGGGUUUUGGGAUAGGAGUAUUUGUAAUUUCAGGAGGGGGAUGUACAAGGAGAUAUACAGGGCUUAUGCCCUGUGAGACCCCUCCUGGAGCAAGAUAAAAUGCUCUGAGCACCAGAAAAAAGCCAUCACAGACCUUUCAGCAAUGCUGUGUUCAAUUUUAAUGUAUAAAAUGGGCUUUUCUUUGCUCUGUAGGGAGAAGCACAAAAGCAGCAGGUUGUUUAUCCUACUGAAUAAACUAAAUGUAGGUCUCUGAGGGAUCUUAUGCAAACCACUUACCUUGAAACGCAGCCCCACGGGAAAGUGAGCUAUGGAGAGAGGCACAGUAAAUGUUUUACAUCUUCAAAGCAGCAUCCAAGUGCCUGGCUCAGCACCAGCUCCCAUCAGGCCUUCCAAAUGAUUACAUCCUCAAUGAGUUUUCCUAGGUGCCAGAAUAAAGCAAAGAAUGAGCAAAACCUGAGACAGCAACAGAUCAUUUUCUGGACUGAUCAAUGUUCUUUAAUCACUCACAAUUUUCUGUCACUGGCAAAUUGUCACCACAGCAAAAUGUGUGAUAAGAGACUUCUGGAGCUACUUAAUGAUAUUUUCUCUUGUGGACAUUAUUGAAAUGGACAGAUUGGAUGUGAAGACCUUAGUGAACCUUCUGGGAAUCUUUUUUCUCUCUCAAUUUCUUCUGAUGCAGUUUUUUUCACCUGUUGUUGCAGAUAUUCCUAGCAAUGAAUUAAAAUAAAUAUCUCAUCAGGAAUGCCUGCA
rnacentral:lncRNA from 1 species